rnacentral:rRNA from 1 species
AUUGAACGCUGGCGGCAGGCUUAACACAUGCAAGUCGAGCGGGGUGAUGGUGCUUGCACUAUCACUUAGCGGCGGACGGGUGAGUAAUGCUUAGGAAUCUGCCUAUUAGUGGGGGACAACAUCUCGAAAGGGAUGCUAAUACCGCAUACGUCCUACGGGAGAAAGCAGGGGAUCACUUGUGACCUUGCGCUAAUAGAUGAGCCUAAGUCGGAUUAGCUAGUUGGUGGGGUAAAGGCCUACCAAGGCGACGAUCUGUAGCGGGGCUGAGAGGAUGAUCCGCCACACAGGGACUGAGACACGGCCCAGACUCCUACGGGAGGCAGCAGUGGGAAUAUUGGACAAUGGGGGGAACCCUGAUCCAGCCAUGCCGCGUGUGUGAAGAAGGCCUUACGGUUGUAAAGCACUUUAAGCGAGGAGGAGGCUCUUUUGGUUAAUACCCAAGAUGAGUGGACGUUACUCGCAGAAUAAGCACCGGCUAACUCUGUGCCAGCCGCCGCGGUAA